rnacentral:tRNA from 1 species
GGGCCCACUCCAAGCAGGAAAGCCUGACCGAUAAUCAGACUGUAGAGGUUAAACUCCUCUUGGGCUCU